GGGACGUAGCUCAGUUGGGAGAGCGCAGCGUUCGCAAUGCUGAGGUCGUGGGUUCGAUCCCCAUCGUCUCC
rnacentral:tRNA from 1 species